CAGAGGGCAGCUACCCAGCGAUGGGGUGCGAAUCUCGAAAGCCUAUCUCAGUUCGGAUUGGAGGCUGAAACCCGCCUCCAUGAAGUUGGAUUCGCUAGUAAUCGCGCAUCAGCCAUGGCGCGGUGAAUACGUUCCCGGGCCUUGUACACACCGCCCGUCAAGCCAUGGGAGCUGGGGGUGCCUGAAGUUCGUGACCGCAAGGAUCGACCUAGGGCAAAACCGGUGACUGGGGCUAAGUCGUAACAAGGUAGC
rnacentral:rRNA from 1 species